UACGUAGGGGGCAAGCGUUGUCCGGAAUCAUUGGGCGUAAAGCGCGUGUAGGCGGCUCGAUAAGUCUGCUGUGAAAGUCCAAGGCUCAACCUUGGGAUGCCGGUGGAUACUGUCGGGCUCGAGUCCGGAAGAGGAGUGUGGAAUUCCUGGUGUAGCGGUGAAAUGCGCAGACAUCAGGAGGAACACCAAUGGCGAAGGCAGCACUCUGGGACGUGACUGACGCUGAGACGCGAAAGCGUGGGGAGCAAACAGG
rnacentral:rRNA from 1 species